AUCAGACUUCUUUUCUUACUCUCUGAAUCUCGAUUUAUUCGAUGCACUUCUCUUUUAGUCUAUCCCAAAAAGAAUGAUAUCUUUCUAUGUUUAGAAACACAAUUUAACUGUAAGCAUCCCAAUCCGCCCUUAUCUCCUUAUAGCCACAUAAACUAUAUAUGGCUAAUUUUUGACACACAGAUCAAAAGUCAGUCUUUUUUAUUAAACUCUGUCCAGUCAACAUGCAUCAUAUAAAUUGGGGAGUAUAAUAUUGGUGUGGUCCAGCGUCAUAUCCUAGACAACAGUUA
rnacentral:misc_RNA from 1 species